UAUGAAGAAGAAAUGGCGGACCCGGAUUCCAACAAAUGGCUUGAAGCCAUGAAAUCCGAGAUAGGAUCCAUGUAUGAAAACAAAGUAUGGACUUUGACGGACUUGCCCGAUGAUCGGCAAGCCAUAGAGAAUAAGUGGAUCUUUAAGAAGAAGACUGGCGUGGAUGGUAAUGUGACCGUCUAUAAGGCUUGGCUUAUCGCUAAGGGUUAUCGACAAGUUCAAGGAGUUAACUACGAUGAGACCUUCUCACUCGUAGCGAUGCUGAAGUACGUCCGAAUCAUGUUAGCAAUUGUCGCAUUCUAUGAUUACGAGAUCUGGAAAAUGGACGUCAAAACGGCAUUCCUUAAUGGUUUCCUUAAGGAAGAAUUGUAUAUGAUGCAGCCGGAAGGUUUUGCCGAUCCUAAGAAUGCUGACAAGGUAUGCAAGCUCCAGCGCUCCAUCUAUGGGCUGGUGCAAGAAUCUCGGAGUUGGAACAUUUGCUUUAAUGAAGUAAUCAAAGCGUUUGGGUUUAUACAGACUUAUGGAGAAGCCUGUAUUUACAAGAAAGUGAGUGGGAGCUAUGUGGCUUUUCUCAUAUUAUAUGUGGAUGACAUACUAUUGAUGGGAAAUGAUAUAGAACUUUCGGAAAGCAUAAAGGCCUACUUGAAUAAGUGUUUUUCUAUGAAGGACCUUGGAGAAGCUGCUUACAUAUUAGGCAUCAAGAUCUAUAGAGAUAGAUCGAGACGCCACAUUGGUCUUUCACAAAGCACAUACCUUAACAAGAUAUUGAAGAAGUUCAAUAUGGAUCAGUCCAAGAAGGGGUUCUUGCCUGUAUUGCAAGGUGUGAGAUUGAGCAUGGCUCAAUGCGCGACCUCGGUAGAAGAUAGAGAAAAGAUGAGUAUCAUCCCCUAUGCCUCGGCCAUAGGCUCUAUUAUGUAUGCCAUGCUGUGUACC
rnacentral:rRNA from 1 species